UACGUAGGUGGCGAGCGUUGUCCGGAAUUACUGGGUGUAAAGGGCGUGUAGGCGGGGAGCCAAGUCAGAUGUGAAAUCCCGUGGCUUAACUGCGGAAUUGCAUCUGAAACUGGUUUUCUUGAGUAUCGGAGAGGAAAGCGGAAUUCCCAGUGUAGCGGUGAAAUGCGUAGAGAUUGGGAGGAACACCGGUGGCGAAGGCGGCUUUCUGGCCGAAGACUGACGCUGAGGCGCGAAAGCGUGGGUAGCGAACAGGAUUAGAUACC
rnacentral:rRNA from 1 species